rnacentral:lncRNA from 1 species
CUUAGUCAUCGGUGGCACAUGAACUUGGUGGUUAACUUCCAUCAUGGUGGUUGUCGUCUUGGUCUCUCCCCACUCGAUUCCUGUUUCGAAUUUGGAAGAUAUUUCGACUCCCGCUUCUCCGAUCAAUGGAACCCCUACUUGGAAGGUGGCUUUGGUUUCAAGGCCUAACGUAAAAUGAGCUAGCCAAGUACUGGUACUGGUCUCUGUAUAAGAAAGUUUCACAUCGAGUGUGUUGGCUUGAGUGGUACGGUUAGUGGCAGAAUUCUUCGCCACAACAAGGACUUUUUCGUUAUAGACUCGAGCAUUUUCAGUAUCGUAUCGGAGAUUAUAAAUCUGCCUUGACAACACAGGCUCUUGAACCAUUAAGAAGGCCUCUCUUGUUAUAGAAGGGACGGCUGCAUUAAGGCAACUCGUCUUUCCCUCGGUCGUGAGGCGCUUGCAGAAAUUAUUGUUGCCGAAGUUGAGCAGAGCUAUGGUCUUGCUGUCGACUUUGAAGGCACGAAACAAAGUGUCCUUAUCGGUUCCUUUAGUGUCAUUAGAAUCCGCCCAAAUCCAAUUCGGGCUACGCCUCCAGAACUUAUCGGAAGAAACCGGCUUGAUCCGGAUGUCUCCAUUCUUCAUAUAAAAAACCUCCAUUGGCACAGAUCCAGCACCGACAUCCGCACUCGAGAAUUCUAAAUAUGGGUGACCCUCGACCUGGGUAAGACGAAGGAACAUAUCAUUGUUUCCUUUGAAAGCAACGUACCGAGGCAGAAUCACCAACGACUCCCAAUCAAUAACUUUGAAGAUAUCAUCGCGAUUAGCAUCAACAUGAUUGUUGUUUGCCAGCACGCCACGACCGAGUUCCGAUUUAGCCAAUGGCCAUAAGCAUAAAUAGCAUCCAGAUUGAACAUGGACAAAUCGAAAAUUUUUAUAUACAGGGUCUUCCAAGAUAGGCUUGAACAAUGUGCAUGACUCCUUGGAUUGGUCUUCUUCCGGCUUAUCGGCGGUUACAGUAAUCCAAUACUCCUCAUUUGGUUUUUCGGUGAUAUAAGGAUUAUGAGUUCGCUUCAAGUACUUGUUGUUGGUACAGCUCCUUAUGUGCACCAGCCCAUCUUUAGCAAACUCCACUUCGAAUUUUGCAUUUGCGCUCACGACCUUUGGUUCGGUGAACUCGGCGUAGCCGUUGUACUUUCCGUUGUCGUGUUUGGAGCCAAGGUAUGUUUCGGCGCCGGGGGAUUUGAGCACGAUGAACCUUGGCAAUGACAUAAUUUGAAUAACAAAGUGACUCUCUCAAUCUUGUGCUUAUGCUUUGGUAUACAUUAAGCCUCAAUGGCUUAGCUUUUUAUAGACAAAACUUAUUGCUCUUACCACGUUUUUGUGAGUCCAUUCCAACUAAUUAAUUAAUAUUUUAAUUUGUGUGAUUAUGCCUCUUUGCUAAGACAUGUUUUUAAUAAAUUCAUAUUUUUUAAAAGUAAUAUUUUUGCAUAUAAUUAAUAUUUUAAAAAAUAUAAAAGAGUAGUAGUGAAGUUCACAUCUUAAAAUAUUUCCUACUCCAUUUAAUAUGAGUACUUAAAUGCUUUGAAAUUUAUAAUAUAUGAAUUAAUAAUGUAUUAAAACUUAUUUAAAUAUAAAAAUAUUCUAAAUCGGAUUAUAUUAUGAAAUAUACUAUGGAUUACACAAAUUAACAAGUUUUGAGAGGUAUAAUUUUUACUCAAUUUUGUUGUAUUUCUUUUUGUUAUAAUAAACAUUGAUAAUGGCGGUAGAACGAUGGCAAAGUAAUAAGAAAUGAAAAAUAAGAACACGCUGAUUUUACGUAGAAAAUCCUUUUGGGUGGUGAAAACCAAAUGAUACAAAAGGAGUUUCGAUUACAUCUAUUUAAGGGUUAAAAAAUCUUGUUCUAAUCAAAAUCAAAUAGAAGAAGUAUAAUUCUAUACGGAUUCUAAAUUAUUCAAGUAGAAAAAAAUACAAUGCUUUUAAAAAUGGAUUGAUGAUUCAACUAGUUAAAUUAUAAGUUUAACCAAUUCGAAUUAUUUAUUUAAUUCAAAUUUGAUUACAAUAUUAUAAAAUUAUAAAAUUAUAAAAUUUGAUUUAAUUAAUUUUUAAAAUUAAUUUAAUCGGUGGACGUACGUCAUCUCUUGUCUUUUUGGAUCAAUUUUUUUUUUACCUAUUUGGUUUUGAAAUUACUUUGGUAAACAUUUUUUACAGAUGGAAUGCCAUGUGCUCCGAGUUAGGUACAAAUGGUGUCGGUGUUUGUGUUUGAAUGAAUGAAAUUUGAAAAGUUUAAUUUGUCUUUUAUGGCCAUAAAAAAGACAAACAUGUUUUAUAGUUUAUCUUAAAAAACCAUCAAACAAUUGAAGAAAAACAUAGCACGCGCCCAGCACCAUCAGUAAAUAAAUAUAAAUUAAUUAAUUAUUAAAUAUCAAAUAUUAAAUAUUAAAAUAAUAUAGUACAAAUAUUUUAAAAAUGUUUAAAAGAUAAUAGGACAGGCCUAAAAUAGAUUUGGAUUAGUCUUUCGUAAAAAUAGAUGAGUUCGGGUAAAAUUUAAAUAUGAAGUAUAUUUUACUAUUAAAUCCAAUUUAAUUAAUAUUUAAAUUUAACUCAAAUUAACCCCCAAUAAAAAUUAUUUUAAAAUUAUUUUCCAACCCAAUUUAAUUAUUUUCACUAAUAAUUAUUUAAUUACUUUAAAAUUAAUUUUCCAAAAAUAUUUUUAUUUUUCCGGAUUAUUAUUUAAUCUAUUUAGAUAAAAUUAACCUCGGGUUUUUUACUAAAUUAUUAUAAAAAAUAACCAAAAUAUUAUAAAUUUUUUUAUUUAGCAAAAUAUACCAAAAAAACAAAAAAAACAAAAAUAUAUUAUUUUCACAUUUUAUUAUUUAUAUUAUUUCAGACAAAAUAUAUAAAAUAAUAAAAUAAUAAAUGUACUAAAAUAAUAUAAAAUAAUAAAAUACGAAAAUAAUAUAUUUUUAUUGAAAGUAAUAAAAAUAGGGAAAAUAAUACAAGCAAAGGGCAGGGAUAAGGGUUUUUUUCUUACACCAAAUUAAUUUUAAAAACACAUUAAAUUAAUAAAUUUCAAACAUUAUGCAUUGAAUUAAUGUAAAAUUAUAAAAUUAAAAAUUAUGAUAUUUUUUAAAGGAAUAAAAUACGGAGAAAAAAAUACGAACAAAUGGCGGAAGUAAGAGUGUAUUACUAACUUUUUUAAAAUUUCAGAAAUAAUUAAUACAAAUAAUUCAAAAAAAAUGUACAUUUAUUAUUUUAUAUUAUUUUAUAUAUAUUGUCUGAAAUAAUAUAAAAUAAUAAAAUACUAAAAUAAUAUAUUUUUAUUGAAAGUAAUAAAAAUCGGGAAAAUAAUACGAGCAAAGGGCAGGGAUAAGGGUUUUUUUCUUACACCAAAUUAAUUUAAAAAACACACUAAAUUAAUAAAUUUCAAACAUAAUGCACUGAAAUAAUGUAAAAUUAUAAAAUUAGAAAUUAAGAUAUUUUUUAAAGGAAUAAAAUGCGGAGAAAAAAUACGAACAAAUACGAACAGAGCUCGUGUUUAUAACACGAUUCGGUGCCGCUAAUCAGUAUGGCACCAUCUGUGCCGCCAAUCAGUUACCCUCCACUAGGGUCCUGUCAAAUCGGCUGCAGCUUUUUUUUCUGUUUUUUUGUAUAUUUUGGUAAAUAAAAAAUUUUAUAAUAUUUUGGUUAUUUUUUAUUUUUUUAUAAUAAUUUAGUAAAAAACCUAAAAUUAAAUUAAAAAUUACUAGAAACCCUCCUAGUUUCACACUCGGAACCCGAAAAAGAUACCCAAAACUACGAGACCCAAUUUAGGAAUAUACAGUAAUAGAUGGUAAAAUUAUUUUUUAUCUUUCAAAAUUUUAUAAUUCAAUUCUACCUUCCUAAAGUAAUUUAUGAAUUUGCACGUCUCAAUUAUUAAGGAAAUGGUUUUUUUUUUUUUUAACAAUGCCUCCUUCAAUCCAAAAUUGUUCUCCACUAUUAAAUUGGAGAAAAAAAAUGCUCUUAAAUGCGGUCGAAUCAAUACCCUCCUAAUUAUUUCAUUAGUAAUAAUAUCAAGUAAACUAAGGUUCAAUCGAUAUUAUUUUUUAAAAUUUAAUACAAUACAAUAAGUAUCAAAUAAAACAAUAUCUAAAAUAAUACUUUUUUUAACAAUCUUUUAUAGGUUCUGAUCAUAUCAGUUCUUUUUGACACAAUACCUAGAACUACCCAUAACCCCUCUCCAACCCAUAAAUACCUAGAACUACCCAUAACCCCUCUCCAACCCAUAAAUAAGAGGAUAAUGCGUUUCAAUGCACUCAAACUUGCGUCCUCUUACAUUGGCAAUAAUAUUCAUACCAAUCAAGUUAAGACUCAAUUUCUAAAAUAAUAGUUUAAUAACUAUUACUUAAUUAGUAGAAACACUCAAGACUGAAUAAAUAUUUAUAAUUGACCUACAUUUUGUUUUAUAGGAAAAAGACAAUGUACAUAAAUCUUAUCAUGACAAACACAAUUAAUGGUGAUGAGAUUUUACCAAAUAAAAAAAAUAUUCAAGAUUCUAUUCAAACGACGUAAGAAACUUAAAGAUCUUCUGCAGAUUAACGUAGCAGCAAUUAGACAUUAAAGUGACAACUGACAACCAUAUUGGUCCAUGAAUUGUUGCAUGUGAUGAAUAUAUGGAAUAGUGAUGCAGAUCUCAAGAUCUGAAAAAUCGAAAAAAAUAUAAAAGAAUUGAAGCAAAAUCACCUAAAAAGAUAGCCCGUUGAAUAAAUGAUAAUGCACUUAAUCGAAAUAUUUUUAUUAUUUAUUUUUAAUUAAUUUUAAACAUGAAAUUUAUCUAAUAAUUUGGCACUUAAUCAAUUUACGUAGGUAUAAUUAUUAUCCAAUGUGCUGAGAAAUGAAUAAAUAUAUAGAUUGCAUGAAAGAUUUGAUAUGAAAACUCAAAGUUAACACACAAGACAAAAUUUUGAAUAUUUUGUUAAUUUUAAUUAUUAUUAUAAUCAGGGGUAAAGGUAGAAAAUUUUUUAGGGGUCAAAAUUAAAUUUAAAUUUUUAUAUUUUUAUAAUUUUUAAAAGAUUAAAUCAAAUUUUUAUCAUUUUUAGGGGGAAAAGUGCAAUUUACCUCUACAUCCACAUUAGAGUGGGUUGGAUAAUGGAGAAGCAUGUCAAUUAUGGAGCGGCAGUAAAUUUAGCAACAUCUUCUCCUGCUCUGCUUUAUUGUCAUCCCUAAGCUUGAAUAUCCAAGUUCGAGUCCCAUCAUAUGCAUAUGCCUAUGUGUGAGUUUUGUCCAAUUCUUCGUCGUCUAUUAUGUUGUGUAUUGGUUUGAUUUUACAUUGUAAUUGAUCAAACAUAUGUAUGUAAUUAUAUUAUACCUAAAACUGUAUCAUGUUUAUGAUAGUGAAACUUUGAAAAGAAUGUUUUUUAGGGAGGGAUCGGCCAUAUUACAUGUUUAGUUAUCUCAUUAAAUUCCUUUGAAGUCUAAAUAAAUAAAAUUCUAAAAAUUAAUUUUUUUUGACAUAUAACAUUAUAUCAUUCCCUGUUAAUAUAUAAAAUUAUAGAACGAUAGGCAAUAAAUACGAGACUAUAAUAAUGAAAAAUUAGGAAACACCACACAUUAAUUUAUUCAUUCAUUCAUUCAUUCAUUCUCAUAUUAAAAGUACAUGAGAUUAUUAAUACAUAAUAUUCAAACAAACAUAAUAUUGCAUGAAAGAAACACACAUUUAUUUAAUUUAACUUAAUAGAUGCACAUAAAAAGACACAGUCUGAUUAUGUUAUGCCCUAAGGCCACAUGAUUUUCUCAAAUUCGAUGUUGUAGUAAUUAGAAACAGUGUAAAUGUUACCUUCCAUUUCAGUUGUGAAAGUGUUGCCAUUAUUAAGUGUGUUACUUUGCUUGAACGUGAAUGGAACAUCACACUUACCUUUUGUUGCAAUCAAACUCACAACCACCUUAGUCUUCGGAGGCACCACAACCUUCUGUAUAACUUUUUUUUCUAGAGGUCGUUAUGAAUGUCUCAUUGAGCUCGUUAUGGAGUUGUUCAUGAUCGGAUAAUUCGAUCUUCCCGCCCUCACUGAUGAUCGGGAAGCUGUUAACGUCGAAGGUGGCUUUGGUUUCCAACUUGAGUGGAGAAUUCGUGCUCCAUAUAUUAGACUUUAUGAUGCGGUCGUUGAAAGCACCAAAAAUAUCAUAUCCCUAAUAAGUAAUGAAUAAGAAUAGUAAAAGGGAAGUAGGGUCAAAUCCUCAAGGACUGGAUUUGCACAAUAUCUUAUUCCGUAAAAUCCCAGGCAGAAUCUUCCACAAGAAAAACUGCGUUCCUGAAAAAAAUAAAAAAUAAAAGAAUUAAAGGUUUGGAUCUGGAAACGAAAAAUAAAAUAAAAACAGAAUUAAGAAUAUUGAAUAAAAAAUUUGAGAAAUUAAAAAUAAGAGUUGAGAGAAAUGAAAUUCUUAUGGAGAUUCCAACCUCCAAUUGUCUCAUUCCACCUUGGGUUCAAUUCUCAGCUUUUAGAUGAUCCUUCCCAAACCAAAUAAGCCAGUUAUAGUGGAAGAGGACGCCUACGACCACCAACUCCAAAGAUUUAGACUUACGAUUUAGUGGAACCUGACUCUAGCCAACAAUCGCUUUUGUGGGAUCGUCUUAUGCUAGAUCAACGCUUCUCAAUGGCGAAUCCCACACCAUUUUGUCUCUUGGACUCGUCAACCUCUGACGCAGUAAGCUAACGAACUGACUGUGCAACAUUCCCAAAACAUACAAAACAGUCGCCUUUGCAUACGUUGAAAAGCUUACUUCUUAAAGGACAUGGAUGGAAGCGUCAACCCCGAAGUGCGGAGAAAGGAUGAAUACUCAGUGAGGAGGCUAAGUACGGAUUCUAAGCCUGAAGAACCCUUUUUGGGGAAUAUUGACAACCUUCGGCUAGAUGGAUUUAGUGGCUCAUGGUUGUGGUUGAAAAAAAAUAAAUAUAAUAAAAAUAGAGAUUUUAUUGAAAGGAAAUAUAAGAAAAAAACCUAGACUUUUGGGAAGAGAGUGUUUACAGAAAAAGAUGGAUCUCUUUUGAGUCACUUCACUUCACCCCCUAUUUAUAGCUCUAGGGGAGAUAGUCUAAUCCUACUUAAAUUCCCAAAAGAUAAAUACAUUUAAUUGAAGAUAAAUAAAGAUAAAUAAAAUAAAAUCUAAAAAAUAAUCCUUAAUAAUUAUCUCAAUAUUAAUUAUCCUAAUAUAAUUAAAAUAGAGUUUAAUAGAAUAAAAUCUCUUCUUUUUGCAUUUCAACCCUUGUGUCCUCCAUGCUUGCACUUUUGGCACCAACUUUUCCUUGUGUCGCACAUUGGCCCAUUUUAUCUCUAAAUUCACGCUUUUGGCCCUUAAUUUUGCUUUUGCCUCAAAUUUAGUCCCUAUGAGAUAAAAGAUCAUAAAUAGCUCAAAUUAGCAGGAUCAUACUCAGAAUAAAUAUAUAAUUAAUACAUAAAAAUACGUUAUUCUAGAGUGUUAUCAAAUUCUCCCUACUUAGCCCAUGCUUGCCCUCAAGUAUGGUUCCUAUCUACUGUGAAAGUUAGAUUCUGCCAUAAAAGAAAUAUCACUCCUUCUAUAAAAAUCAGUUAAAAAUGCAUAUGAAAAAUAAAGAGAACCCGAAGCUUGCUUUAAGUAAAACAGAAAAAGUUUUCCAAUUAAUACACACAAAAAUUAGAAUCGACUUGAAUUAUUUAAUGAAAAUUAGGUAAAUUACCAAACCUACUAAGACACCAUAUUUGAUUCCUCCUUUAGUCCCCAAAAUAUUUUCUUUUUCUUUUUCUUUUUUUGUCUUUUUUUUAUUUUUAUUUUGAUUUAUUUAUUAUUUAUAUUUUUUUAUGCUUUAGGAAUAUACUGAACCUUUUGACGCGAUUCGUACAAGCAAGGACAAUAAAAAAACCAGAUCAAUUGUUUUAAUAGUCUAAUGACUUGAAUGAAAAGUUUUAAAUAAUUCAAUGAAAUUAAGUGACCAAUUUAAUGACCUUAUAUGUAAUUUACCCUAUAUAUAAUUAUUUUUAUAUACACUUUUUAAAAAAAUUUGAUAAAAUCACAAGUUGCUAGCAAAUAAGAGAAGAAAGAUAAAAUAAAAAUAAAUCCAAACCCCUAUUAUAUUAAAAUCUUUUGACUCAAAACCAAAUUUGCAUUUCCCAAAAAUAUGAUAAUUUAGUACUACAAAAUCACAAUUAGACAUUUCUUUGAAGUCUUUAGUAACUGUAAUAAUUGGUUGCGGGCUUUACUUUCAUGUGUCGCAUUCAUGGCAUCCAACCUUAUUAUGAGCUUUUCUAGAACCAUUGCAUUAUCCAAGAAAUAAUGAACUAUUUCAAUCAUAUGUGUGGCAUAGUCUGAAAUUUCAAUCUCCUUCAGGUGAAAAGACAAACAAGAAGGAACAUCUAUAUUCCAUCGAGUUCCCGCAACAUUCUAAACUCAUGAAAAAAGAAGAAAAGUUAUUCGGUUUGUACCAUGAAUUUAGGUGAUAUUGAGCAUGCUUUCGAUUUCUUAAGUUUAUCGUUAAAUCAAUUAGUUGCAACGAAUACACGUAUUUAGACAAAGACUUCAUACCUUAAAUUCAAAGGUAAGUGUCUUUAGAUUAGGCGCACAAUGUAGAAACUCCACAAGCCAAGCUUCUCUCCCAUAAAAUUCGAAUUUAGUAAGAUUAUGAAAUAUAGGAAGUCGAUUUGUUAGGGGAAUCUGCCCACACAGGAGGUAUUAUAUACUGUUAUAAUGUUAAAAGGAAAAAAAAAACACAUGAAUACUAAGUUUACUAACCAUUUUAUAUAUCAAUCCAUAAACUUAGAGACCGUACAUUGCAAAUUCCUUGAAUAAGAUGAGUUACACUUGUUUCAUAAUUCCUUAAAUUUUGAUGACGAUGCCUCUGGUUUCAGUAUGUUUAUUUCAGCUCUUGCAUCUCAGUUUCAUAAUAUUUCCUUUUGUUGGACGAGACAGGAAGCAAGGCAGCUCAUAUAUUUAUGAGAGUAGUCUUAUCUUAUGCAACCCACUCUGAAUGGAAAAGUCAUCCUUCCAAUCAUUCCUUUAUUUUAAACCAUGAUUUUAUGUUUAAUUUAGACCAUGAACGUAGAAGAUGUUUGGACCGAGAGUACAAGGUACGCCAGUUGGCUUAGAACUUAGUUUUUAUCCUCUCUUUUAUCAAUUGGUGUUAUUAAUUUGGCAUCAUGAAAUUAUUUCUCAGUAAAAAAAAAGAUUAUUAUUUUUUAUAUUACAUAUAUAAUAACAUUGAAACACAAAUCUCAACCCAACUAGAAUCAAGCUUUGGCAAAAUAAAGCUACCAAAUUAUAUUUAUUCACUUAUUCUCAUAAUGACAGUACAUGACACAGUUAAUAAUGAGAUGACAGACAAAUAGUGCUUCGUCCAUGAAGGGAACACCAAUUUAUUUAGUUUAAUUUAUUAAGUACGCAACACACACAAAUCUUCAAGCUUCCAUGGAGCUGUGGGGUUUUUCUCAAUUCAAGAGGCGAGAGGUUCUUCUUUUGUAUCAUAUUGUUGAAAGCUGGACUGCAAUGCAACAUGGAGCCAGAAGCAUGCUACUGUCGAGAUCAGCAGCUAUCGAGCUCAGCUCACUUUGCUUGGUGCGCACGAAUGGUUUUUGGACCAAAUGAAGCAACUGGCAUUGCUGUUUUGUUUUGUUGUAAUUUAGUUCAGUUUAAUUGCAACUAGCUUCAAUAGUUAGUAAGAUUAAGUUAGUGAUUAGAUAGCUGAUGUAAAAGCUGAUAUGUCAGCUCAUUUUGUAUUUGACUUAAGCCUACAUUGGCUGUAAAUUAGUGGAGGCAGUUAGAUUAGUAGGUAACUGUCAAAUGAACAAAUUGUAACUCCUUUUAUUUCAAAUUUUGAAUGAAAAAUGUAAUGUUCAGUUACAACUUUGCUGAGUAUUCAAUUUUUGUUCAUUUUUUUUGCUUUGCUUUGCUUUUCUUUGCUUCGAUUCUUCUUGCUUCAGUCUUGCAAACACUGUAUUGUAACUUUGUUUGAUGUUUGCUGCUGCCAUUGUUCCAACAAAUGGUAUCAUGAGCCCGAAUCUUUGAGAGGCCAUUUUUUGUACUUUGUUGAGUUUAAAUCAAAACCAUCAGCAAAGCUUAAAAUCAGAAAGGAUCGAAGCACUUAAAAUCAGUUUAGCAGAAUGAGUUUCACUCCACCACCUCCACCAGUGUUCACUGGUGAAAACUAUCACAUUUGGAUAGUUAAAAUGAAGACUUAUCUCCAGGCACAUGAUCUUUGGAGUGUGAUCGAGAAUGAUGCUGAACCACCUCCAUUAAGAGCCAAUCCCACCAUUGCACAGAUGAGGCAACAUACUGAGGAGCGAGCCAAGAAGCAUAAGGCUAUGGCCUGCUUGCAAAAUGGAGUCUCUGAUGUGAUUUUUACUCGCAUCAUGGCCUGUGACUCACCAAAGCAGGCUUGGGAGAAGCUGAAGGAGGAGUUCAUGGGGACUGAUAAGACAAGGCAACAGCAAGUGAUUAACCUCAGGAGAGACUUUGAGAAUUUGAGGAUGAAGGAGUCUGAGACCAUCAAGCAGUACUCAGACAGGAUAAUGGCCAUUGUCAACAGCAUUAGGCUCCUGGGAGUGGACUUCACAGAGAGCAGAAUUGUUGAAAAGGUCAUUACAACUCUCCCUGAGAAAUUUGAGUCAAAAAUCUCUUCACUUGAGGACUCGAGGGACUUAUCAGCCAUUUCAUUGUCUGAGCUGAUAAACUCCCUGUAUGCACUUGAGCAAAGGAGGGCAAAUAGGCAGGAGGAGAAUCCUGAAGCUGCUUUCCAGGCUAAAGCCAGUGAAGGCUCGAGUGUGAGUGCAAAAGGCAAGAAGCCCUGGCAUAAUAGAAGGGACAAGUCAGGAAAGGAUGAAGCAAAAAGGGUGUUCCCACCAUGUGUUCAUUGCAAGAAGACAACACAUUCAGAAAAGUAUUGCUGGUUUAGGCCAGAUAUUCAGUGUAGAAAGUGCAAGUAGUUUGGCCAUGUGGAGAAGGUGUGCAAGGGCAAACCAAUGAAGGCUGCUCUGCAACAAGCUAGACCUGCUGAGGACAUUCAAGCUCAGGAGGAGCAUGUGUUCACAGCAACUUGCUUUGUUGGCACAACCAAGGCCAGCAAUGAUUGGCUACUAGACAGUGGUUGCUCACACCAUAUGGCAGCAGAAGAGAAGCUGUUCAAGGGCCUAGACAGAAGCUUCCACUCGAGGAUUAGAAUUGGAGAUGGCAAGCUGAUUGAGGCUAAGGGCAAGGGCAGUGUGCUGGUUAGCACUGGUUCAGGUAACAAGCUGAUCACAGAUGUGCUUUUUGUACCUGAUUUAGACCAGAACUUGCUUAGUGUAGGCCAAUUAGUUGAAAAGGGCUAUACAUUAGUUUUCAAGGAUGGUUGUUGUACUGUUCAAGACAUGAAUGGUCUAGAGUAAUCUCAGUCUCUAUGACUGAUAGAUGCUUCAUGUUGGAUGUUAGCCAAGUAGAAAGAAAGGCAUACACCAGCCUUUACUGAUAACACUGAUUUGUGGCAUAAGAGACUAGGCCAUGCCAAUUUUAGAUCUCUUGAUUGCUACAUAGGCUGAAUUUAGUUGAUGACAUUUCAAAAAUUGAGGUUAGUGGGAAUGUUUGUGAGGUUUGUCAGCUUGGUAAGCAAGCUAGACUACCUUUUCCUGCUGACAGUGCUUGGAGAGCUCAAAACAAGCUCGAAUUGGUGCACUCUGAUGUUUGUGGCCCUAUGAGAACACCCUCAAUCAGUGAGAACAGGUACUUUGCCCUGUUUAUAGAUGAUUUAACAAGGUUGUGCUGGGUCUACUUCUUGAAGCUAAAGUCAGAAGUGUUUGAAGCCUUCUGCAAAUUCAAGGCUUAUGCUGAAAAUCAGUCAGGCUGCAAAAUUAGAGCCUUGAGGACUGAUAAUGGCUCUGAAUAUGUGUCUGAGAGAUUUCAGAAGCUUUGUGACAGUGCUGGGAUUCACCAUCAGCUCACAACAGUCUAUACUCCUCAACAGAAUGGAGUCUGUGAGAGAAAGAAUAGGACUGUGCUGAACAUGGCCAGAUGCCUCUUGUUUCAAGGCAAGCUUCGAAGCCAGUUUUGGGCUGAGGCAGUCAACACCUCAGUGUAUCUGCUCAACAGACUGCCAACUCGAGCAGUCAAGGAUAAAACUCCUUUUGAAGCUUGGCAUGGAGUCAAACCUGUGGUAACACACUUAAAAGUGUUUGGCUGUGUAUGUUAUGCACUUAUUCCAGUAGAGAAAAGGACCAAGCUUGAGAGCAGAGCAACUCCAGGAAUCUUUGUUGGCUACAGCAGCAACAAGAAGGGCUAUAGAGUGUAUGAUCCUACAGCAAAGAAGGUCUUAGUCAACAGGGAUGUAAAGUUUGAUGAGGAAAAAGUGUGGAAUUGGAAUGGUGUUGAAGCUGACAUGUCUGAAAUGGACCAGUUGGACUUGGUUGCUGAACCCAUAGAAGAGGGACCAGGAGAAGAUGUUGUAGAUGACAUACCAGUGAGGGGCACUAUAACUUUGGCUGAUGUCUAUCAGAGGUGCAAUGUUGCUGUGAUUGAACCUUCAGACUUUGAAGAGGCUGCUAAGAACAGAAGCUGGAUGAAAGCUAUGGAAGCUGAGUUGGAAAUGAUCAACAAAAAUCAGACUUGGGAGUUGGUGAGCAGACCAGAACACAAGAGGGUCAUAGGAGUUAAAUGGGUGUACCGGGCCAAGUACAAUGCUGAUGGCUCACUGAACAAGCACAAGGCCAGGCUUGUGGUGAAGGGCUACAGUCAGCAGUAUGGUGUUGACUACCUAGAGACUUUUGCUCCAGUGGCAAGACUGGAUACAAUUAAGCUGCUGUUUGCUUUAGCAGCCCAGAAGCAGUGGAGAGUUCACCAAUUGGAUGUCAAAUCAGCAUUUCUGAAUGGUUUUCUCAAGGAAGAGAUCUUCAUCGAACAACCUGAAGGUUUUGAAGUUGUUGGACAUGAAGACAAAGUGUACAAGUUGAGAAAGGCCCUCUAUGGUCUGAAACAGGCACCAAGGGCCUGGUAUGACAGAGUUGAUGCUUACCUGACCAAUCUUGGAUUUGUGAAGAGUCUUAGUGAACCUACCUUGUAUGUUAAAAGGUCAGAACAUGAAACCUUGCUGAUUGUCUCCUUGUAUGUAGAUGAUUUGCUUGUGACAGGGAGCAAAGUUGAGCUCAUUGAUGAGUUCAAGGUCAAAUGCAGCAAGUGUUUGAGAUGACAGAUUUGGAGAUCAUGACUUACUUCCCUUGGCAUGGAAGUGCACCAGUCUGAUCGAGGUAUCUUCAUCAGCCAACACUCAUUUGCUUUGAAGAUCCUAGACAAAUUUUGCAUGCAUAACUGUAAAGCAGUCAGCACACCAGUGGCUCAAGGAGAAAAGCUGACUAGCAGUAGUGAUAAGCAGAGGGUUGAUAAGAGGCACUAUCGAAGCCUAGUUGGUUGUCUGUUGUAUCUAACAGCAACCAGGCCAGACAUCAUGUUUGGUGUCAGCCUGUUAUCGAGAUUCAUGCAUUGUUGCAAUGAAGCACAUUUGAAAGCAGUAAAGAGGGUCCUUAGAUACAUCAAGGGCACUGCUAGUUUUGGUGUAAUGUUUGAAAGUGGGAACCAACUGAAACUAGAAGGUUACUCUGACAGUGACUGGGCAGGAUCCCUUGAUGACAUGAAGAGUACCUCAGGAUACUUCUUUACACUUGGAUCGGGGAUGUUUUGCUGGAGUUCAAAAAAGCAGCAAACUGUUGCUCAGUCCACAGCUGAAGCAGAGUACAUUGCUGCAGCAGGAGCAGUUAAUCAGGCCAUUUGGCUAAAGAAGCUGCUUCAUGACCUUAAUGAAACUCAAGAUGAAGCAACUGAAAUUUGGGUGGAUAAUCAGUCUGCAGUUGCAAUAGCCAAGAACCCUGUGUUCCAUGGUAAGACUAAGCAUUUUAAAAUCAAACUGCAUUUUGUUAGAGAGGCUGAACAAGCAAAGGAAGUCAGCCUUGUGCAUUGCAGCUCAGGGGCACAAUUGGCUGACAUAAUGAUCAAGCCCUUAGGGGCUGCUCGAUUUGAAUCUUUGAGAAGUGCAAUUGGAAUGUGUUGCAUACAGUCCAAGGAGGAGUGUUGAAAGCUGGACUGCAAUGCAACAUGGAGCCAGAAGCAUGCUACUGUCGAGAUCAGCAGCUAUCGAGCUCAGCUCACUUUGCUUGGUGCGCACGAAUGGUUUUUGGACCAAAUGAAGCAACUGGCAUUGCUAUUUUGUUUUGUUGUAAUUUAGUUCAGUUUAAUUGCAACUAGCUUCAAUAGUUAGUAAGAUUAAGUUAGUGAUUAGAUAGCUGAUGUAAAAGCUGAUAUGUCAGCUCAUUUUGUAUUUGACUUAAGCCUACAUUGGCUGUAAAUUAGUGGAGGCAGUUAGAUUAGUAGGUAACUGUCAAAUGAACAAAUUGUAACUCCUUUUAUUUCAAAUUUUGAAUGAAAAAUGUAAUGUUCAGUUACAGCUUUGCUGAGUAUUCAAUUUUUGUUCAUUUUUUUGCUUUGCUUUGCUUUUCUUUGCUUCGAUUCUUCUUGCUUCAGUCUUGCAAACACUGUAUUGUAACUUUGUUUGAUGUUUGCUACUGCCAUUGUUCCAACACAUAUUGGAUGUUGUAGUAAUUAGCACCAGUGAAAGUGUUACCAGUGACAUCAGUUGUGACAACGGUCCCAUUAUAAAAAGUGUCUUUUUGAGUGAAUACGAAGGGAACAUCACACGUGCCAUGGGUCAUCGAUAGAUACACCGUCACCUUAGUCAUCGGUGGCACAUGAGCUUGGUGGUUAGCUUCCAUCACGGUGGUCGUUGUCUUGGUCUCUCCCCACUCGAUUCCGGCUUCGAGUUUGGAAGAUAUUUCGACACCCGCUUUGCCGAUUAAUGGAACCCCUACUUCGAAGGUGGCUUUGGUUUCAAGGCCUAACGUAAAAUGAGCUAGCCAAGUACUGGUAUUGGUCUCUGUAUAAGAAAGUUUCACAUCGAGUGUGUUGGCUUGAGUGGUACGGUUAGUGGCAGAAUUCUC